rnacentral:rRNA from 1 species
AAUCAACGCUGGCGGCGUGCCUAACACAUGCAAGUCGAACGAGAAAGUGGAGCAAUCCAUGAGUACAGUGGCGUACGGGUGAGUAACACGUGACUAACCUACCCUCGAGUGGGGAAUAACCUCGGGAAACCGGGGCUAAUACCGCAUAACAUCUACGGAUCAAAUGCGUAAGCAGCUUGAGGAGGGGGCCGCGGCCGAUUAGCUAGUUGGCGGGGUAAUGGCCCACCAAGGCAAUGAUCGGUAGCCGGCCUGAGAGGGCGCACGGCCACACUGGAACUGAAACACGGUCCAGACUCCUACGGGAGGCAGCAGUGGGGAAUUUUGCGCAAUGGGGGAAACCCUGACGCAGCAACGCCGCGUGGAGGAUGAAGUCCCUUGGGACGUAAACUCCUUUCGACC